UGUUGUUUCGAAAGCCAUGUUUAGUGGUCCGGACCGCUGUUAACGCGGCAAAACGAGGCGAAAAAAAUCGAUUGUGUCCGUGUGAUUAUUUUUGUUUUGGUUUGGCAGCCGUUUUCGUCGACCCGCUCGGCUCCGGCCACAUGACUCAUGCCAGGCUGCAACAAUGAAAAACCACAAUAAGUACGCCAAGUUGCCCCAAGACCUAGAUCUGAGUUUUCACAACGAUUUGGACCUGCUGCCGGACACUGCGGCCGACAUCGACCUGGAAAUAAAUGCGGACGACUCGGAUGUAGCCGCCCUGAACCUGAACGUGCCCCCGGCUCUGGAGCUGGGCGAAGAGGAGACUGUCAUCUUAACUGGCGAGUCGACGGCAGGGGCCGCGCGUAGACAGCACUUUGAGCCGUUAGAGUUCCUGGGCAAGAACAAAAUCUGCGGUUUGGGCAGCGACAGUGUCGUCGAGACGGGUCAUACCCUCACACCUGAAAUGCUGCUAUCCACGUCGGAGUCAUCGACCCACAGCGCCUCCGAGGUGGCUGGACGAUUGCAGGUCGACGUGCGGACCGGCCUAAAAUGGACGGAAGCCAAGUACCGGGCAAAGAUUAUCGGUCACAAUGAGUUGCUGCUUGUCGAAGAAGACCCAACCUGGAAAAAGUAUAUUGAGCAAUUCAAGAACCCGCUUAUCCUACUGCUACUCGGCUCGGCCUUGGUCUCCGUGAUAAUGAAGCAGUUUGACGACGCCGUCAGCAUAACCAUAGCCAUUCUGAUCGUGGUCACGGUGGCCUUUAUCCAGGAAUACCGCUCGGAGAAGAGCCUGGAAGAGCUUAAGAAGCUGGUACCGCCCGAGUGCCACUGUCUGCGUGAGGGUCGACUUGACACGUUUCUGGCUCGAGAACUAGUCCCAGGCGACGUAGUUUACCUUAAUGUAGGCGACCGCGUUCCUGCCGACAUCCGGCUUUUUGAGGCCGUGGACCUAUCCAUUGACGAAAGCAGUUUUACCGGCGAAACGGAGCCGGCGCGCAAAAUCACUGACGUCCUACUGAACAACACGAACGUCAAAGACCACAGCAACAUGAAGAACAUUGCCUUCAUGGGCACGCUUGUGCGUUGCGGCAAUGGGAAGGGCAUAGUAGUCAGCACCGGGGAGCGCAGCGAGUUCGGCGAGGUCUUCAAGAUGAUGCAGGCCGAGGAGGCUCCCAAGACGCCGUUGCAGAAGUCAAUGGACAUUCUGGGGGCCCAGCUGAGCUUCUACUCCUUUCUCAUAAUUGGCGUGAUUAUGCUGCUAGGCUGGCUGCAGGGCAAGCCGCUCUCGGAGAUGUUUAACAUUAGCGUAUCAUUGGCCGUGGCCGCCAUACCAGAGGGUUUACCCAUCGUAGUCACGGUCACGUUAGCGCUGGGCGUUAUGCGGAUGGCUAAGCGCAACGCAAUCGUUAAGAAGCUGCCGACAGUAGAGACACUUGGGUGCGUAAACGUUAUUUGCUCGGACAAGACCGGCACCCUUACGAAAAACGAGAUGACGGCCACGAUUAUCAUCACUUCCGACGGCUACAUGGCGGACGUGACUGGAGCCGGCUAUAAUGACCAGGGCGAGAUUCACAUUCGACACUGCAACAAUGUGGAGAUGGCCAAGUCGAACAUCACGAACCUUCUUGAGAUCGGGGCCGUCUGCAACAAUGCCUACAUCCAGAAGGGCACCUUGUUGGGUCAACCCACCGAGGGAGCCCUGGUGGCAGUGGCCAUGAAGAACGGCAUGUACGCCACAGCCGAGAACUAUGUGCGCAUCCAGGAGUACCCCUUCAGCUCUGAGCAAAAGAUGAUGGCCGUCAAGUGCAUCCACAAGUACAACAACAACAAGGAGGAGAUCUUCUUCGCUAAGGGCGCGCUGGAGACCCUGCUGCCGCAGUGCACAAAGUACCAGUUCGGCACACAGACCGUGCCGCUAACGAAGCAGAAUGAGUCCGAGUUUCUGGCUGAGGCAUACGAGAUCGGGCGCAAAGGCCUCCGGGUACUAGCACUAGCUAAGGGACGGUCCAUGCAAGACCUCAUUUACUGCGGCCUGGUCGGCAUUACUGACCCUCCAAGGCCCUUGGUGCGUGAGUCCAUCGAAAUGUUGAUGCAAAGCGGCGUGCGGGUCAAGAUGGUAACUGGAGAUGCGCAGGAGACAGCGUUGGCGAUAUCGAAUCUCAUUGGCAUUGAUACAAUACACCACCAGACGCUGUCUGGGCAGGAGAUAGACCAAAUGAACGAGCAUCAACUGGACAAGGUAGCCAACAAUGUGAGCGUCUUUUACCGCGUAUCACCGAGGCACAAGCUGGAGAUAGUAAAGUCCCUCCAGCGCACCGGAAACAUAGUUGGCAUGACUGGGGACGGCGUCAACGACGGAGUGGCUUUGAAGAAGGCGGAUAUUGGUAUUGCAAUGGGCAAGAACGGCACUGACGUGUGCAAGGAGGCCGCGGAUAUGAUUUUGGUCAAUGACGAUUUCCACACCAUCAUUGCUGCUAUCGAGGAGGGCAAGGGCAUUUUCUACAACAUUCGAAACUUUGUUCGGUUUCAACUGAGCACCUCAAUCGCUGCACUGGCCCUCAUCGCCUUGGCUACUCUGAUGGACAUUGCCAACCCCUUGAACGCUAUGCAGAUUUUGUGGAUCAACAUCAUAAUGGACGGCCCCCCAGCACAGUCACUUGGCGUGGAGCCCGUGGACCACGACGUGCUGAAGCAAAAGCCCCGCAAUGUAAAGCAGCCCAUGAUAACCAAGUCGGUGGUGGUUAACGUGCUUCUAAGCGCCAGCAUAAUAGUCUUGGGCACGCUCUGGGUGUUUCAACGAGAAAUGGCAGACGGGACGCUGGGCAAGACCAAGCGAGACACGACAAUGACCUUCACGUGCUUCGUGUUCUUCGACAUGUUUAAUGCUCUUUCCUGCCGCUCGCAGACAAAGAGUGUUUUCACCAUCGGCCUAACUACCAAUCGCAUGUUCCUGCUUGCCGUCGGCUUUUCAAUUGUCGGCCAAAUGCUGGUCGUCUAUUUCCCACCGCUCCAGAUGGUCUUUCAAACAGAAGCCCUAACGCCCUACGACAUAUUUUUCCUGGUCUCGCUCACCUCCUCCGUGCUGGUGGUUUCCGAAAUAAAGAAGUGGUUUGAGCGCACCAUGGAACGCAAGAUGUACAGCACCCGUUCCGAGCUGGACUUUGUAUGACACAGCGCAAGCGCUAGAGAUGAGUUGCAAGUGCACCCCAAAGCCGAGUAACUUGAAAAACUUACCACGAAAAAACCCACAAAAAAACGAAAAACGAAAACUAUGCCAAAUAAAAGCGAGGUGCGUGGUGAAUGUGUACAUCUGGAGCAGAAGCAUGGGCCGUUACGGAUGCAACAGGGUACCGGAGAUGUGUGUGUUUAUCCUUUUGAUUUUUGAACCGACAAGUCAAUAAGAAUUUAAAAACGAAAGCUGCUGAAGCUGAGUCACGACAAGUUUUUCCAAAGCUUUCAGGAGCGAAGCAACCGAUUAGUGAUCGUUUAAGAGAAUAAAGCUAAAUUCAAUGCUGAAGACUUUCCAGCAGACAGACGGCAAGGCAAGGACUAUAAAGAGAAGCUAGGCGUAGUGGAGAAUUUCCAGCGGGUUUUUUUUUUUUUGGUAAUUUUGAUAACUAAGUUAUUCGGUAUUGUAACAGCAAGCAACAAAUUUGUGUACACCAACCGCAAAUCAAAUCUCUAGCGUGUUAUCAGAACAAAUACUUUUUGGCAAAAUCAGCUCCAGUUUAUCAUUAACUGGAAACUGAAGAUCAUUAAAGACGUAGUAUACAUGCAACAACAAAUUUAUUCAUUUAUUCAAUUAUAUAAUGCAAAAUAAAGGCUACAUUUUUACCAUUAAUUAAGCGAUCCAUUUUUAUUUCUAAAUAUUUCAAUUUUGUUUCAUAAAAUGCAAUCGUAAAUCAUUCAAACAGGAUAAACACUUCAUAAUUCGAAUAACUCAAUUUCCUUAUUCCUUUAUUUCAUAAAAUAGGUUCUGUUAACUGGUCUUUACGAAAGGCAAUUAUGGAACAACUGUCAAUUUAUGAUUUCUUGAUAAGAUGAUAAUCUUAAAGCAUAAUUUAUUUUUACUUUUACCCAUAAAAAUCUCACUCAUUUAUUUUUAGCCAGGGCAUCUAAUCAUUACAAGUGAAAAAAAAUAAUGUUUUAUUGAUUUUAAUAUAUUUUGCUUGCCAUUAAAAAUUAUAAUUUUAUUUACUUUACUUCGCUCAAACAAUAAUUAUUAUUAUUUUGAGCGAAAAAAUAUCGGUCAAAGAAUAAUGAUUAUUUUUUGAGCGAUAUCUUUUUGCUCAGAAUUUACCUCAAUGUGUAUUAUCUUCUUUCUAAGAGGUUUCUUUAAAAAAAAUUUUACCCGAUCCUAUUAAUCGAAAACAGACGAACCAAAAAACACAUUAAGCGAAAUUCGGAUCAAAAAUAAACAAUUAAAAUUGGUUUAAUAUAUACAAAUCUAGAUUUCAGCAAUCAUUGGUUAUCUUGAAAGAGCAUUCAAAUUGUAGCCGAUUGGUAUAAAUUGUCUUUUCCAAGUGUAUGAUUUUUUUGUUUAAAGAAAACAGUGAUAAUUAUUAUUUACGGUCACCGUUUUUAACCAUUUCAUGUUUAUUUUAAUCACAAUAGCAAUAUGCACACGCCCAGUAGAUACAUAUACAUAAUUAUAACGGAAAUUUCUAUAGAAGGACAUGAACAUAUUGUGGGCAAUUAAACUGAUUCUUUUUAUUUUACGUAAAACCCAAAUACAUAUUGUUGAACUGUCAAUGUCAUGGGCAUUCGAUUCAUAUCAUACCAGCUCAAAGGCCAUCAAAAGAGACAUUUCACAUUAAAGAAAUUUUAAUGAUUUUCUUGUAGCAUAUCACAUUUGUACUUAAAUCGCAAGGCUUUCUCACUCUCGACCAGCGUGUGUUGUUCUCGAUCACACAACGUUCUAUUUAGGGGAAAUUUCAACAUUUUUUCACGACGCUUUUUGCAACCACUAGGAAAAUGGACCAAUACAAAAAUGAAUUAAAACCAUUUGAAACACAUUAACAUGAAGCUAAGCUCCACACAAACGCACGCUCAUAUAUCAAGGCAAAAAAAAAAAAAAAAAUCGAAAAAAAGAGAAACUUAAAAAUAAAAAAAAAACUUCUUUAACAAAGCAUCCUAUGAACACAAAUAUGGCUCAUUACUAUACCCACUCAUAAAGACAUACUUAAAGUACUCAGUACAGAUAUACACAAAUCUACACCUACGCGCAU